GUGGGGAAUCUUGCGCAAUGGGCGAAAGCCUGACGCAGCCAUGCCGCGUGAAUGAUGAAGGUCUUAGGAUUGUAAAAUUCUUUCACCGGGGACGAUAAUGACGGUACCCGGAGAAGAAGCUCCGGCUAACUUCGUGCCAGCAGCCGCGGUAAUACGAAGGGGGCUAGCGUUGCUCGGAAUUACUGGGCGUAAAGGGCGCGUAGGCGGACAGCUUAGUCAGAGGUGAAAGCCCAGGGCUCAACCUUGGAAUUGCCUUUGAUACUGGCUGUCUUGAGUUUGGGAGAGGUGAGUGGAACUCCGAGUGUAGAGGUGAAAUUCGUAGAUAUUCGGAAGAACACCAGUGGCUAAGGCGACUCACUGGCCCAAUACUGACGCUGAGGCGCGAAAGCGUGGGGAGCAAACAGGAUUAGAUACCCUUGUAGUCC
rnacentral:rRNA from 1 species